rnacentral:rRNA from 1 species
AAAAAAGGUAAGCUACUAAGAGCGAAUGGUGGAUGCCUUGACUGGUAAAGGCGAUGAAGGACGUACUAGACUGCGAUAAGCUACGGGGAGCUGUCAAGAAGCUUUGAUCCGUAGAUUUCCGAAUGGGGCAACCCAAUGUAUAGAGAUAUACAUUACCUAUAUAGGAGCGAACGAGGGGAAUUGAAACAUCUUAGUACUCUCAGGAAAAGAAAUCAAUAGAGAUUGCGUCAGUAGCGGCGAGCGAAAGCGCAAGAGGGCAAACCCAGUGCUUGCACUGGGGGUUGUAGGACUGCAAUGUGCAAGAGGUAAGUUUAGCAGAACAUUCUGGAAAGUAUAACCAUAGAGGGUGAUAGUCCCGUAUGCGAAAAACAAACCUUAGCUAGCAGUAUCCUGAGUAGGGCGGGACACGAGGAAUCCUGUCUGAAUCCGGGUCGACCACGAUCCAACCCUAAAUACUAAUACCAGAUCGAUAGUGCACAAGUACCGUGAGGGAAAGGUGAAAAGAACUGAGGUGAUCAGAGUGAAAUAGAACCUGAAACCAUUUGCUUACAAUCAUUCAGAGCCCUAUGUAGCAAUACAGGGUGAUGGACUGCCUUUUGCAUAAUGAGCCUGCGAGUUGUGGUGUCUGGCAAGGUUAAGCAAACGCGAAGCCGUAGCGAAAGCGAGUCUGAAUAGGGCGCUUAGUCAGAUGCUGCAGACCCGAAACGAAGUGAUCUAUCCAUGAGCAAGUUGAAGCUAGUGUAAGAACUAGUGGAGGACUGAACCCAUAGGCGUUGAAAAGCCCCGGGAUGACUUGUGGAUAGGGGUGAAAGGCCAAUCAAACUUCGUGAUAGCUGGUUCUCUCCGAAAUAUAUUUAGGUAUAGCGUUGUGUCGUAAUAUAAGGGGGUAGAGCACUGAAUGGGCUAGGGCAUACACCAAUGUACCAAACCCUAUCAAACUCCGAAUACCUUAUAUGUAAUCACAGCAGUCAGGCGGCGAGUGAUAAAAUCCGUCGUCAAGAGGGAAACAACCCAGACUACCAGCUAAGGUCCCUAAGUCUUACUUAAGUGGAAAACGAUGUGAAGUUACUUAAACAACCAGGAGGUUGGCUUAGAAGCAGCCAUCCUUUAAAGAAAGCGUAAUAGCUCACUGGUCUAGUGAUUUUGCGCGGAAAAUAUAACGGGGCUAAAGU